rnacentral:rRNA from 1 species
UACGGAGGGGGCUAGCGUUGUUCGGAAUGACUGGGCGUAAAGCGCGCGUAGGCGGAUCGGAAAGUUGGGGGUGAAAUCCCGGGGCUCAACCCUGGAAUUGCCUUCAAAACUCCCGGUCUUGAGUUCGAGAGAGGUGAGUGGAAUUCCGAGUGUAGAGGUGAAAUUCGUAGAUAUUCGGAGGAACACCAGUGGCGAAGGCGGCUCACUGGCUCGAGACUGACGCUGAGGUGCGAAAGCGUGGGGAGCAAACAGG